AAUCAUAUUUGUUUAUGACGGCAACACCAGGGACAGGGAAUUCCAAUUCAUUACCUGCACCCUGUCAAACCGCCGAGCUGUCAAGUGACGUUCUACAACAUUCUCUGAUUUUCUGACAAACGACAAGGAUUGAGAGAAAUAUCAUAAAAAAUACAACUACAUAGGUUCUUGUCUGUAGGCAAAUCUGUGAAAUAUAAUAAACUAAACUUCUUUUG